UACGGGGGGGGCAAGCGUUGUUCGGAAUUACUGGGCGUAAAGGGCUCGUAGGCGGCCAACUAAGUCAGACGUGAAAUCCCUCAGCUUAACUGGGGAACUGCGUCUGAUACUGGAUGGCUUGAGUUCGGGAGAGGGAUGCGGAAUUCCUGGUGUAGCGGUGGAAUGCGCAGAUAUCAGGAGGAACACCGGUGGCGAAGGCGGGAUCCUGGGCCAGUACUGACGCUGAGGAGCGAAAGCGUGGGGAGCAAACGGG
rnacentral:rRNA from 1 species